CGCCCGCGCCCGCAGCAGCAGCGCCCGGCCCCGCCCCGCCGGGGACACUGCCAGGGGUCAGAGAGGGGCGGGGCCAUGAGCUGACCACGCCCUGAUACACCCAGACACACCCUGAUACACCCUGACCACGCCCAGCGCCCGCGCCCGCAGCAGCAGCGCCCGGCCCCGCCCCGCCGGGGACACUGCGAGGGAGGGGAGGGGCGGGGUUAUGGGGACACAUCCUGGCCACACCCAGACACACCCAGGUACGCCCUGACCACACCCAGACACACCCAGGUACCCCCAGACCACGCCCAGACACACCCUGACCACACCCACACACACCUGGACACAUCCAGACCACACCCAGACCACACCUGGACACACCCAGACACACCUGGACACGCUCUGGCCACACCCAGACCACGCCCAAACACACCUGAACACACCCAGACCACGCCCAAACACCUGGACACACCCAGACCACACCUGGAUACACCCCAGACACACCGGGACACACCCAGACCACACCUAGACACACCUGGACACGCUCUGGCCACACCCAGACCACACCUGGACACAUCUGGACACACCCAGCCACACCUGGACACACCCCAGACACACCUGGACACGCCCAGACCACACCUGGACACGCCCUGGACACACCCAGACACACCUGGACACGCCCAGACCACACCUGGACACGCCCUGGACACACCCAGCCCCACCCAGCCCACGCCCGGCCCCGCCCUGACCGUGGAUCUGCUCCAUCAGGCGCAGCGUCCGCUCCAUCUCGGCCACCAAGGGGUCAUCGGGGUCACCGCCGGGGUCACCGGAGGGGUCAGCGGGGUCACCGGAGGGGUCAGCGGGGUCACCUGAGGGGUCAGCGGGGUCAUGGGCAGGGUCACCGGCGGGGUCCCGGGCGGGCAGCGCGUCCCGGAAGCGAUAGAGCUCCGACACCAGGGCCUGGGAGGGAGCCAAAAUCGGCAGCAAUCAGCCCAAAGUGAGCUCCAAUUAAUGAAAAUAACCUUAAAAAGGAAAAAUCUGCGGAAAUGACCCAAAAUCACCC
rnacentral:lncRNA from 1 species